rnacentral:rRNA from 1 species
GCUUACAGGCCAUACCAACCUGGCUAUGCCCGAUCUCGUUUGAUCUCCGAAGCUAAGCAGGUUUGGGCUUGGUUAGUACUUGGAUGGGGAGACCGCCUGGGAAUAUCAGGUGCUGUAAGCU